rnacentral:rRNA from 1 species
UACGUAGGCAGCAAGCGUUGUUCGGAGUUACUGGGCGUAAAGAGUCUGUAGGCGGUUCUCUAAGUUUGGUGUGAAAUCUCCCGGCUUAACCGGGAGGGUGCGCCGAAGACUGGGGUGCUGGAGUCUGGGAGAGGAAAGCGGAAUUCCUGGUGUAGCGGUGAAAUGCGUAGAUAUCAGGAGGAACACCGGUGGUGUAGACGGCUUUCUGGACCAGUACUGACGCUGAGAGACGAAAGCGUGGGGAGCAAACAGG